GAUGAAGAACGUAGCGAAAUGCGAUAAGUAAUGCGAAUUGCAGAAUUCAGUGAAUCAUCGAAUCUUUGAACGCACAUUGCGCCCAUCAGUAUUCUGUUGGGCAUGCCUGUCCGAGCGUCAUUUCAACCCUCAGGGCCCGUUCGCGGGAACUGGUGUUGGGGAUCGGCCUCCCCCCGGAGGCCGGCCCCGAAAUGCAGUGGCGGCUCUACCGCGAUCUCCUCUGUGUAGUAGCGAUACCUCGCAGCUGGAUAGUGGUGGUGCCACGCCGUAAAAUCCCAACUUUACCAAGGUUGACCUCGGAUCAGGUAGGAAUACCCGCUGAACUUAAGCAUAUCAAUAAGCGGAGGA
rnacentral:misc_RNA from 1 species